rnacentral:rRNA from 1 species
UACGUAGGGAGCAAGCGUUGUCCGGAAUCACUGGGCGUAAAGGGCGCGUAGGUGGCGCCGCAAGUCCAUGGUGAAAGCUCGAUGCUCAACAUCGAGUCGGCCACGGAGACUGCGGGGCUCGAGCACUGUAGGGGCAGAUGGAAUUCCGGGUGUAGCGGUGGAAUGCGUAGAGAUCCGGAAGAACACCGGUGGCGAAGGCGGUCUGCUGGGGUCGAACUGACGCUGAGGCGCGACAGCGUGGGGAGCAAACAGG